GAUGAACGCUAGCGGCAGGCUUAAUACAUGCAAGUCGAGGGGCAGCAGGUUUGUAGCAAUACAGAUGCUGGCGACCGGCAAACGGGUGCGGAACACGUACAGAACCUUCCUUUAAGCGGGGGGAUAGCCCAGAGAAAUUUGGAUUAAUACCCCAUAGUAUUGUUGAGUGGCAUCACUUGAUGAUUAAAGAUUUAUCACUUAAAGAUGGCUGUGCGGCUGAUUAGGGUAGUUGGCGGGGUAACGGCCCACCAAGCCUUCGAUCAGUAACUGGUGUGAGAGCACGACCAGUCACACGGGCACUGAGACACGGGCCCGACUCCUACGGGGAGGCAG
rnacentral:rRNA from 1 species